rnacentral:tRNA from 9 species
GAAAAGGUUGUGUGUGAAAUUCGAGGUAUUUUCUCAGAAAUACAGGUAACUAUCUGUUUUUAAAUAAAAGCAGUUCGGUCUCGAAAACCGGAGUAGGGGCAACUCUACCGGGGGUUCAAAUCCCCCUCUCUCCGCCA